rnacentral:lncRNA from 1 species
UCCCCCAGGUUUGAUGAAGUCCAAGUCCUGACAAUUUAAAAAUACUGCUUGCAUAGACAAAUUAAAAACACAGGCAAUGCAUAAACUGAAGUAUAUCAACAUGCACCCUGAGGAUGCUACUAACAUGAUCAUGAAACUGUUGGAUAUAUUAAUGCGUUUGUCAUAUGAUAUUUUGUUUAUAUGUGUUUGUCUCUUCAAGAUUGUGGAUCUCCUUGAGGUAAAAGACUUUAUAUUAUUUCUCUUUGCAUUCCUAAAGGCUGAUAAUAAAUGUUUUAAUAAUGAAUGAGGCCAUGUAUGGUGGCUCAUGCCUGUAAUCUCGGUACGUUGAGAGGCCAAGGCAGGAUCACUUGAGGUCAGGAGUUUGAGACCAGCCUGGCCAACAUAGUGAAACCCCAUCUCUACUAAAAACACAAAAAUUAGCUGGGCGUGGUGGCAAGUGCAUGCAGUCUCAGCUAUUCGGGAGGCCGAGGCAGGAGAAUCACUUGAACUGGGGAGACAGAGGUUGCUAUGGGCAGAGAUUGCACCAUUGCACUCCAGCCUGGGUGACAAUGAGACUGUCUCAAAAUAAUAAUAAUUAAUAAAAAAGACUGGUUCAGCAAUGGUGAAGUAAGGACCUCCUAAAGUCCUCUCUUCCAUAAUAGCAACAGAAAGCAUAAUAAACUUUUUCAGAUCUCUAAAAGUUAACCACAAUUUGGAACAAGCUGACUGUUUUUUUUUCUUUUUAAAUUGGCUGAAUUGGUAAGAACAAUGAGCUUUGUUGCAUUUUAAUUUGCUUAAUCCUAUUCCUCCAAUGCCCCCUCCCCCCCACCUCAUGAUAGCCUUAAAAACCAAUGGCUCCAAAAAUCACAGUGAAAAUAAGCAGCCUAUAAGUCUUUGGAGGAGACAGAAUGGAGCUCCUCCAAAGCCCACUUCCCACGUAGCUGUCAUCAGUUGGUCUGUCUGGUGAUUCCCUGAAAAAAUUUCACUUGCAGGACUUGUCUAUAUUUGACCUGGCUCAGAACUUUCCCAAAGAGGGCAGACUUUUCCCUCAGAGAAGUUUGUUGAAAACAAGCAGUGGCAAUUGUUAAACACUGCAGGUGCCUGAG